rnacentral:rRNA from 1 species
UAGGGAAUCUUCGGCAAUGGGGGGAACCCUGACCGAGCAACGCCGCGUGAGUGAAGAAGGUUUUCGGAUCGUAAAGCUCUGUUGUAAGAGAAGAACGUGUGUGAGAGUGGAAAGUUCACACAGUGACGGUAACUUACCAGAAAGGGACGGCUAACUACGUGCCAGCAGCCGCGGUAAUACGUAGGUCCCGAGCGUUGUCCGGAUUUAUUGGGCGUAAAGCGAGCGCAGGGGGUUGUAUAAGUCUGAAGUAAAAGGCAGUGGCUCAACCAUUGUGUGCUUUGGAAACUGUACAACUUGAGUGCAGAAGGGGAGAGUGGAAUUCCAUGUGUAGCGGUGAAAUGCGUAGAUAUAUGGAGGAACACCGGUGGCGAAAGCGGCUCUCUGGUCUGUAACUGACACUGAGGCUCGAAAGCGUGGGGAGCAAACA